CUCGAAGUGACCGCAGAGCUGCCGCGAUCGUCGCCGAUGGGAGAGCCGCCCCGGGGAGAGGACAGACUCCCCCCGGGAGGGGGCCCGGACCCACUGGAGCUGUCUCCGUGGCUAGAGCGUGGGCCGCCACACCAUUGACUUCACCUCCGUGUUUGAGGCAGACAAGCUUUUUCUCGCCUGCUGUGGUGUGCCCGGGGCUGUGCUUGCAGUAAGGGAAGGUUUGUGAUGUGGCUCAGGAGCUGUGCCCCGGGCCGGACAGCCUGCGGUGUGGAGCCUGGCGGUUCCUCGUGCACCGACAUAGCAUGGGAACGUUUCCUUGGCUGUUAACUUUUAGGAGUAAAGAGUGCCCGUGCUGCCCAAA